UACAGAGGGUGCAAGUGUUGUUCGGAAUCAUUGGGCGUAAAGAGCGCGUAGGCGGUAUAGUCAGUCAGGUGUGAAAGCCCUGGGCUCAACCCAGGAAUUGCAUUUGAUACUGCUAUGCUCGAGUACGGUAGAGGAUAGUGGAAUUCCCGGUGUAGAGGUGAAAUUCGUAGAUAUCGGGAGGAACACCGAUGGCGAAAGCAGCUAUCUGGGCCGAUACUGACGCUGAGGCGCGAAAGCGUGGGGAGCAAACAGG
rnacentral:rRNA from 1 species